GACGAACGCUGGCGGCGUGCCUAAUACAUGCAAGUCGAGCGAAUCGAUGGGAGCUUGCUCCCUGAGAUUAGCGGCGGACGGGUGAGUAACACGUGGGUAACCUGCCUGUAAGACUGGGAUAACUUCGGGAAACCGGAGCUAAUACCGGAUACGUUCUUUUCUCGCAUGAGGAGAGAUGGAAAGAUGGUUUCGGCUAUCACUUACAGAUGGACCCGCGGCGCAUUAGCUAGUUGGUGAGGUAACGGCUCACCAAGGCGACGAUGCGUAGCCGACCUGAGAGGGUGAUCGGCCACACUGGGACUGAGACACGGCCCAGACUCCUACGGGAGGCAGCAGUAGGGAAUCUUCCGCAAUGGACGAAAGUCUGACGGAGCAACGCCGCGUGAGCGAAGAAGGCCUUCGGGUCGUAAAGCUCUGUUGUUAGGGAAGAACAAGUACAAGAGUAACUGCUUGUACCUUGACGGUACCUAACCAGAAAGCCACGGCUAACUACGUGCCAGCCGCCGCAGUAAGAC
rnacentral:rRNA from 1 species